rnacentral:rRNA from 1 species
GACGAACGCUGGCGGCGUGCUUAACACAUGCAAGUCGAACGAAGAGCGAUGGAAGCUUGCUUCUAUCAAUCUUAGUGGCGAACGGGUGAGUAACGCGUAAUCAACCUGCCCUUCAGAGGGGGGCAACAGUUGGAAACGACUGCUAAUACCGCAUACGAUCUAAUCUCGGCAUCGAGGAUAGAUGAAAGGUGGCCUCUACAUGUAAGCUAUCACUGAAGGAGGGGAUUGCGUCUGAUUAGCUAGUUGGAGGGGUAACGGCCCACCAAGGCGAUGAUCAGUGGCCGGUCUGAGAGGAUGAACGGCCACAUUGGGACUGAGACACGGCCCAGACUCCUACGGGAGGCAGCAGUGGGGAAUCUUCCGCAAUGGACGAAAGUCUGACGGAGCAACGCCGCGUGAGUGAUGACGGCCUUCGGGUUGUAAAGCUCUGUUAAUCGGGACGAAAGGCCUUCUUGCGAAUAGUGAGAAGGAUUGACGGUACCGGAAUAGAAAGCCACGGCUAACUACGUG